rnacentral:rRNA from 1 species
CUUAACUCCGGAAUUGCCUCCAAAACUGCCAAUCUAGAGUCCGGGAGAGGUAAGUGGAAUUCCUAGUGUAGAGGUGAAAUUCGUAGAUAUUAGGAAGAACACCAGUGGCGAAGGCGGCUUACUGGACCGGUACUGACGCUGAGGUGCGAAAGCGUGGGGAACAAACGGGAUUAGAUACCCUGGUAGUCCACGCUGUAAACGAUGGGUGCUAGAUGUUGGGGCUUCAAAGCCUCGGUGUCGCAGCUAACGCAUUAAGCACCCCGCCUGGGGACUACGGCCGCAAGGCUAAAACUCAAAGGAAUUGACGGGGGCCCGCACAAGCGGUGGAGCAUGUGGUUUAAUUCGAGGCAACGCGAAGAACCUUACCAGCCUUUGACAUCCCGGUCGCGAGGAUCAGAGAUGAACCUCUUCAGUUCGGCUGGACC